rnacentral:lncRNA from 1 species
CCAAUCAUAGUUCUACAGCAAAGGAUCACAAGUGCUUAGGUGAAAGCAUGUGGAGAGGUGUUUUUCUCUCUAGAAGUAGAGAGAGAUGGAUGAGAGACCAAAAGAGAGUCCAAGAGACUCCAAGAGAGUCCUCUCAAAGGAGGUUAGCUCCUUAUUUAUAGAAACGAGAGGUAUAGGGUUUCCUAGUGACCCCCUUUCAAAUGGGCUAAGCCCAUUAUCUUAUAGGCCUUGUUGGG